ACUCAAAUGAAUUGACGGGGACCCGCACAAGCGGUGGAGCAUGUGGUUUAAUUCGAGGCAACGCGAAGAACCUUACCAGGCCUUGACAUGGGGAGUUUGGAUUUCCGAAAAGAAAUCCUUCAGUUUGGCUGGCUCCCACACAGGUGCUGCAUGGCUGUCGUCAGCUCGUGUCGUGAGAUGUUGGGUUAAGUCCCGCAACGAGCGCAACCCUCACUCUUAAUUGCCAUCAUUCAGUUGGGCACUUUAAGAGAACUGCCGGUGAUAAGCCGGAGGAAGGUGGGGAUGACGUCAAGUCUUCAUGGCCCUUACGGCCUGGGCUACACACGUGCUACAAUGGCGGUGACAGAGAGUCGCGAUCCCGCGAGGGUUAGCUAAUCUCCAAAAGCCGUCUCAGUUCGGAUUGCACUCUGCAACUCGAGUGCAUGAAGCUGGAAUCGCUAGUAAUCGCGCAUCAGCUCGGCGCGGUGAAUACGUUCCCGGGUCUUGUACACACCGCCCGU
rnacentral:rRNA from 1 species